GUGAGAGCAGGUCUGAAAAUAAGAGUGUAGGGUGGAAGGUGGAAGGCACCCUGUAAAAAAUAGCCAGUUCAUAUGGACCUCUGGCCUGUGGGAGAUAUUGUUACAGGAAGUCAUAUACUCAAAGAGUAGUCUCUUAUUAUUUGGUCAUUUAUAUAGUUCAAGGGAAUGAAUAAAUAUUCCAAGCUAAAUUAUGAGCCCAACUUAAAAUUAGACACCUAAGGAGAAACAUUUAAUACACUCUUGAUAGCAAGAUUAAAGAAUAUUACUCUAGGAGUCUGGAUCAAAUGUUUUCCCCUGCUUUUGCUGCCCUAUUUGGUAAUUUUCUCAGUCUAGUUACAAUAGCACAGAUCAUGAGAGUUU
rnacentral:lncRNA from 1 species